AGUGAACGCUGGCGGUAGGCCUAACACAUGCAAGUCGAACGGCAGCACAGUAAGAGCUUGCUCUUACGGGUGGCGAGUGGCGGACGGGUGAGGAAUACAUCGGAAUCUACUUUUUCGUGGGGGAUAACGUAGGGAAACUUACGCUAAUACCGCAUACGACCUACGGGUGAAAGCAGGGGAUCUUCGGACCUUGCGCGAUUGAAUGAGCCGAUGUCGGAUUAGCUAGUUGGCGGGGUAAAGGCCCACCAAGGCGACGAUCCGUAGCUGGUCUGAGAGGAUGAUCAGCGACACUGGAACUGGGCCACGGUCCAGACUCCUACGGGAGGCAGCAGUGGGGAAUAUUAGACAAUGGGCGCAAACCUGAUCCAGCCAUACCGCGUGGGUGGAGAAGGCCUUCGGGUUGUAAAGCCCUUUUGUUGGGAAAGAAAAGCAGCAGGUUAAUACCCCGCUGUUCUGACGGUACCCAAAGAAUAAGCACCGGCUAACUUCGUG
rnacentral:rRNA from 1 species